UUUUUUGAUAAAUUCACAUAGGAAGUGCCUUAGUACUUUUAUUAAAACUAAAAUACUGUUUCAGUUCCAUAAAGUACAGUAAUCCAUCAAUCUAUGGGGCCAGCUUCUGUUUAUAUGUGCACAUUGCUCUCUGCAGACCAAGGGGGACUGAAUGAGAUGCUGUUACAGACCUGGUCUCCCUGACAACAGGGAAAAUGAUCAGAUCCCAGACAAUAGGAUUCCCAAAUAAGAGAAGCCAAGUAACGGUGAUUAACCAUCAAAAGAAAAACGGGGACAGUUAUUACAAUGAACUGCUUGUCAAUGAAUGACAAGCAACAAGGGUCGGGGGGUGUUCCAGUUUUCCAAGAGCUAUAGACAUGUGGACCAAACCAUGAUGCUGCUGAAGACAUGAUAGGUAGGUUUUGUUUAAUUUGUAACAAUCUAAGAAAAUCAGUUACAAAAUGAUCAGGAGUCUAAGGCCAGUUACCAUAAUAAAAAUACUAUCUCUUGCCCAGUUUCUGGAACCUUAAUGGAUUCAGACCCAGAAUUCACUGAAGGAAAGUGAUCUGGCUUCUAGUGAGAAGGGUCCCUGCCACAUGUUGCCAAAUAAUUUCCUGGGUCCUUCCUCAAAGGACCUAAAGCCGUUGGCUCAGACAUCCAUGCAUUUGGAGAAAAGUGAAUUGUUAGACACAGAAUCGGAAUUAAACAUGAUACUCAGGGAGUUCCUAUCAUGGCAGAGCAGAAACGAAUCCGACUAGGAACCAUGAGGUCACAGGUUCAAUCCCUGGCCUUGCUCAUGGGUUAAGGAUCCUGCGUUGCCAUGAGUUGUGGUGUAGGUCGCAGAUGCAGCUUGGAUCUGGUAUUGCUGUGGCUAUGGCGUAGGCCAGCAGCGACAGCUCUGAUUGGACCCCUGGCCUGGGAACCUCCAUAUGCCUCGGGGGUGGCCCUAAAAAGCAAACAAAACAAAACAAAACAAGUUGGUAAUAAAAGACAGCCUGAGGGGUGUGCAGUCCAUUCAUUAUUGCUGCCCUGUAGAUUUUAGAAUCAGUCAGAUGAGAAUGCACAGAACCCACUGAUUUAAACUCUAGAUUCCAACUCUCCUUCACACUUCUUAUCACCACUCGAGACCACUUUAAUAAAGAACAUUUCUCCUCUGCUUUCAGUGAAAUGCCACAAAAUCACAGCUAAUGGAAUUACCACUUUUGCUUUCAACAGAUGUGUGUUUCCUGUUCACUGACAAAUACUGGGCUAGAUAUGGGAUGGUUAGCUAUGGUCCCCCUGCUCCUGAAGAAUUAAGGAGGUGAGUGAGUGAAUGCAGGCUUCUAGAUUCUGACCUUGAUGGCACAGAGCAGGUUGCCAUGAACGGCAGCGGCCAGAGGACCUGGGAGCACUGUGAGGAGGAGUCCUUGGAGAAGUGGUCUGGAGGAUGAGAGCCAGCCAGGCUGGGCAGAUGCAUGUUGUUCAGGCCAGUGGAGCAUCUUGAAGAAAAACUUCUCUGUGAUCCAAAGGGAAAGAGCUUAAGCCCGGAAGAGAGAUCAGGGGGAAAGGCAAGGGUGACCGACAGAGGCACCAUCAAGAAAGAAAACAUGGGAAGGAGGAGUAGCGACCAAGUCUCUUUCUCUAAAAGAAAUUUUUCUUAGGAGUUUUCACCAGGAAAACUAUGCUUCUUCCACACCAGGGAUUGGCACCAUUUUUGCCAAGGACCAGAGAGUAAAUAUCGUGGUCUUUCAGGAUCAGAGACGGUCUCUGUUGCAUGUCCUAUGGGGACCUGCUGUGUAGCUCAGGGAACUCUACCUAAUAUUCUCUGAUAACCUGUAUGGGAAAAGAACCUGAAAAAGAAUGGAUAUGUGUACAUGUAUAAUGGAAUCUCUUUGCUGUACACCUGAAACUCACAUAACAUUGGAUAUCACCUAUACGUCAAUAAAACUUAAAAACAAAGACAAGGGAGUUCUCUUCGAGGCUCAGUGGUUAAUGAACCCAACUAGGAUCCAUGAGAAUGAGGGCUGGAUCCCUGGCCUCGAUCAGUGGGUUAAGGAUCUGGCAUUGCCAUGAGCUGUGGUGUAGGUUGCAGAUGCGGCUCAGAGCCCGAGUUGCUGUGUCUGUGGCGUAAGCUGGCAGCUGCAACUCCGAUUGGACCCCCAGCCUGGGAAUUUCCAUAUGCCUUGGGUGCGGUCCUGAAAAAGCAAACAAAAGAGACAGAAACAAACAACACCUUGAAAAUGUCAAAGGAGGAGUUCCCGUCAUGGUUCAGUGGUUAAUGAAUCUGACUAGGAACCAUGAGGUUGAGGGUUUGAUCCCUGGCCUCGCUCUCUGAUUAGACCCCUAACCUGGGAACCUCCAUAUGCCACGGGUGUGGCCCUGAAAACAACAAAAUACCAAAAAAAAAAAAA
rnacentral:lncRNA from 1 species